GAAAGCGUGGGGAGCAAACAGGAUUAGAUACCCUGGUAGUCCACGCCGUAAACGAUGAGUGCUAAGUGUUGGAGGGUUUCCGCCCUUCAGUGCUGCAGCUAACGCAUUAAGCACUCCGCCUGGGGAGUACGACCGCAAGGUUGAAACUCAAAGGAAUUGACGGGGGCCCGCACAAGCGGUGGAGUAUGUGGUUUAAUUCGAAGCAACGCGAAGAACCUUACCAGGGCUUGACAUCCCACUAACGAAGCAGAGAUGCAUUAGGUGCCCUUCGGGGAAAGUGGAGACAGGUGGUGCAUGGUUGUCGUCAGCUCGUGUCGUGAGAUGUUGGGUUAAGUCCCGCAACGAGCGCAACCCUUAUCUUCAGUAGCCAGCAUAUAAGGUGGGCACUCUGGAGAGACUGCCAGGGAGAACCUGGAGGAAGGUGGGGAUGACGUCAAAUCAUCAUGCCCCUUAUGGCCAGGGCUACACACGUGCUACAAUGGCGUAAACAAAGGGAAGCGAGAGGGUGACCUGGAGCGAAUCCCAAAAAUAACGUCUCAGUUCGGAUUGUAGUCUGCAACUCGACUACAUGAAGCUGGAAUCGCUAGUAAUCGCGAAUCAGAAUGUCGCGGUGAAUACGUUCCCGGGUCUUGUACACACCGCCCGUCACACCAUGGGAGUCAGUAACGCCCGAAGUCAGUGACCCAACCUUAUGGAGGGAGCUGCCGAAGGCGGGACCGAUAACUGGGGUGAAGUCGUAACAAGGUAGCCGUAUCGGAAGGGGCGGCUG
rnacentral:rRNA from 1 species